rnacentral:rRNA from 1 species
UGCGUAGGCGGCGUCAUAAGUCAGGGGUGAAAGCCCACAGCUCAACUGUGGAAUUGCCUUUGAUACUGUGGUGCUUGAAUCAGGUUGAGGUAGGCGGAAUGUGGCAUGUAGCGGUGAAAUGCUUAGAUAUGCCAUAGAACACCGAUUGCGAAGGCAGCUUACUGGACCUGCAUUGACGCUGAGGCACGAAAGCGUGGGGAGCGAACAGGAUUAGAUACCCUUGUAGUCC